UAGAGCUUCCGCAGCCGUGAGGUGUUAAUAGUCUGUCUCAUUUUGGCCGAGACACGACGGUUAGUGAAUC
rnacentral:ncRNA from 1 species